rnacentral:sRNA from 1 species
GACUGAGCUGAUAGCAACUGAAAAUAGCCCACUGAGCACCUGUCCCUUGUACACCAGCCCCUGGCCGACUGCCAUUUAGGACAAUGUGGACUUACUCAGUAGACAGAUGAGAAGCCCAAGGUCAGCCCCAAACUCUACAUGUGUGUGUGUGAAGGUCUCUCCUGCGGUAAUGAGGACCACUGUGAAGGCCAGCAGUGCUUUUCCUCACUGAGCAUCAACGAUGGCUUCCACGUCUACCAGAAAGGCUGCUUCCAGGUUUAUGAGCAGGGAAAGAUGACCUGUAAGACCCCGCCGUCCCCUGGCCAAGCCGUGGAGUGCUGCCAAGGGGACUGGUGUAACAGGAACAUCACUGCCCAGCUGCCCACUAAAGGAAAAUCCUUCCCUGGAACACAGAAUUUCCACUUGGAGGUUGGCCUCAUUAUUCUCUCUGUAGUGUUUGCAGUAUGUCUUUUAGCCUGCCUGCUGGGAGUUGCUCUCCGAAAAUUUAAAAGGCGCAACCAAGAACGCCUCAAUCCCCGAGACGUGGAGUAUGGCACUAUCGAAGGGCUCAUCACCACCAAUGU